rnacentral:misc_RNA from 1 species
CCGAGUUAUACGACUCAUCAACCCUGUGAACAUACCUAUAACGUUGCCUCGGCGGGAACAGACGGCCCCGUAACACGGGCCGCCCCCGCCAGAGGACCCCCACUAACUCUGUUUCUAUAAUGUUUCUUCUGAGUAAACAAGCAAAUAAAUUAA